AACGAACGCUGGCGGCGCGCCUAAUACAUGCAAGUCGAGCGAGAAGACGUAGCAAUACGUUUGUAAAGCGGCGAACGGGUGAGGAAUACAUGGGUAACCUACCCUCGAGUGGGGAAGUAACUAGCCGAAGGUUAGCUAAUACCGCGUACGCUUCUUGGACUUCGGUUCAGGGAGGAAAGCGAUACCGUGGGUAUCGCGCUCUUGGAUGGGCUCAUGUCCUAUCAGCUUGUUGGGAGGUAACGGCUCACCAAGGCUUCGACGGGUAGCUGGUCUGAGAGGACGAUCAGCCACACUGGCACUGCGACACGGGCCAGACUCCUACGGGAGGCAGCAGUAAGGAAUAUUGCGCAAUGGGCGAAAGCCUGACGCAGCGACGCC
rnacentral:rRNA from 1 species